rnacentral:rRNA from 1 species
CGUGUGGGCAACCUGCCCUGUACUGUGGAAUAAUCAUUGGAAACGAUGACUAAUACCGCAUGUGGUCCUCGGAAGGCAUCUUCUGAGGAAGAAAGGAUUUAUUCGGUACAGGAUGGGCCCGCAUCUGAUUAGCUAGUUGGUGAGAUAACAGCCCACCAAGGCGACGAUCAGUAGCCGACCUGAGAGGGUGAUCGGCCACAUUGGGACUGAGACACGGCCCAA